rnacentral:rRNA from 1 species
UGGGGAAUAUUGGACAAUGGGCGCAAGCCUGAUCCAGCAAUGCCGCGUGUGUGAAGAAGGCCUUCGGGUUGUAAAGCACUUUUAUCAGGAGCGAAACGCUGUCGGCUAAUACCCGGCGGAACUGACGGUACCUGAGGAAUAAGCACCGGCUAACUUCGUGCCAGCAGCCGCGGUAAUACGAAGGGUGCAAGCGUUAAUCGGAAUUACUGGGCGUAAAGCGUGCGUAGGCGGUUUCUUAAGUCUGCUGUGAAAUCCCCGGGCUCAACCUGGGAAUGGCAGUGGAUACUGGGAGGCUAGAGUGUGUCAGAGGGUGGUGGAAUUCCCGGUGUAGCGGUGAAAUGCGUAGAGAUCGGGAGGAACAUCAGUGGCGAAGGCGGCCACCUGGGACAACACUGACGCUGAGGCACGAAAAGCGUGGGGAGCAAAACAGGAUUAGAUACCCUGGUAGUCCACGCCCUAAAACGAUGCGAACUGGAUGUUGGUCUCAACUCGGAGAUCAGUGUCGAAGCUAACGCGUUAAAGUUCGCCGCCUGGGGAAGUACGGUCGCAAGACUGAAACUUAAAAGGAAUUGACGGGGUCAUAGCUGUUUCC